rnacentral:rRNA from 1 species
GACGAACGCUGGCGGCGUGCCUAAUACAUGCAAGUCGAGCGAAGUUUUUCUGGUGCUUGCACUAGAAAAACUUAGCGGCGAACGGGUGAGUAACACGUAAAGAACCUGCCUCAUAGACUGGGACAACUAUUGGAAACGAUAGCUAAUACCGGAUAACAGCAUUAACUGCAUGGUUGAUGUUUAAAAGUUGGUUUUGCUAACACUAUGAGAUGGCUUUGCGGUGCAUUAGCUAGUUGGUGGGGUAAAGGCCUACCAAGGCGACGAUGCAUAGCCGACCUGAGAGGGUGAUCGGCCACACUGGGACUGAGACACGGCCCAGACUCCUACGGGAGGCAGCAGUAGGGAAUCUUCCGCAAUGGGCGAAAGCCUGACGGAGCAACGCCGCGUGAGUGAAGAAGGAUUUCGGUUUGUAAAGCUCUGUUGUUAGGGAAGAAUGAUUGUGUAGUAACUAUACACAGUAGAGACGGUACCUAACCAGAAAGCCACGGCUAACUACGUG